rnacentral:rRNA from 1 species
UACGGGGGGGGCAAGCGUUGUUCGGAAUUACUGGGCGUAAAGGGCUCGUAGGUGGCCAACUAAGUCAGACGUGAAAUCCCUCGGCUUAACCGGGGAACUGCGUCUGAUACUGGAUGGCUUGAGUUUGGGAGAGGGACGCGGAAUUCCAGGUGUAGCGGUGAAAUGCGUAGAUAUCAGGAGGAACACCAGCGGCGAAGGCGGCGCUCUGGGCCGGUACUGACGCUGAGGAGCGAAAGCGUGGGGAUCAAACAGG